rnacentral:rRNA from 1 species
GGCGGAAGGUGCAAGCGUUGCUCGGAAUCACUGGGCGUAAAGGGUGCGUAGGCGGCCGUGCAAGUCUGGCGUGAAAGCCCCGGGCUCAGCCCGGGAAGUGCGCUCGAAACUGCGCGGCUCGAGUGCCGGAGGGGAGAGUGGAAUUCCUGGUGUAGCGGUGAAAUGCGUAGAUAUCGGGAGGAACACCAGUGGCGAAGGCGACUACCUGGCCCAUUCUUGACGCUGAGGCGCGAAAGCUAGGGGAGCGAACGGG